CCUACGGGAGGCAGCAGUGGGGAAUAUUGGACAAUGGGCGAAAGCCUGAUCCAGCAAUGCCGCGUGAGUGAAGAAGGCCUUCGGGUUGUAAAGCUCUUUUACCCGGGAAGAUAAUGACUGUACCGGGAGAAUAAGCCCCGGCUAACUCCGUGCCAGCAGCCGCGGUAAUACGGAGGGGGCUAGCGUUGUUCGGAAUUACUGGGCGUAAAGCGUACGUAGGCGGCUUUGUAAGUCAGAGGUGAAAGCCCACGACUCAAUCGUGGAACUGCCUUUGAGACUGCUUCGCUUGAAGAUGGGAGAGGUUAGUGGAAUUCCGAGUGUAGAGGUGAAAUUCGUAGAUAUUCGGAAGAACACCAGUGGCGAAGGCGGCUAACUGGACCAUUCUUGACGCUGAGGUACGAAAGCGUGGGAGCAAACAGGAUUAGAUACCCUGGUAGUCCACGCCGUAAACGAUGAUAACUAGCUGUCGGGGCUCUUGGAGCUUCGGUGGCGCAGCUAACGCAUUAAGUUAUCCGCCUGGGGAGUACGGCCGCAGGUUAAACUCAAAUGAAUUGACGG
rnacentral:rRNA from 1 species